rnacentral:sRNA from 1 species
UUUUAGCCCAGAUGGCAACGGCAUCCUUUUGUAAAGCUACAAGCCUUUGGCUGGAAGUUCUACAAAAGAUAUAGUGGACAGCUGGAAAUAGC